UCCGCCCGCUGGCCGCGUGCUUAACUCAUGCAAGUCGAACGGAAAGGCCCUGCUUGCAGGGUACUCGAGUGGCGAACGGGUGAGUAACACGUGGGUGAUCUGCCCUGCACUUCGGGAUAAGCCGGGGAAACUGGGUCUAAUACCGGAUAGGAGCCAUUUUUAGUGUGAUGGUUGGAAAGUUUUUUCGGUGUAGGAUGAGCUCGCGGCCUAUCAGCUUGUUGGUGGGGUAAUGGCCUACCAAGGCGGCGACGGGUAGCCGGCCUGAGAGGGUGGACGGCCACAUUGGGACUGAGAUACGGCCCAGACUCCUACGGGAGGCAGCAGUGGGGAAUAUUGCACAAUGGGCGCAAGCCUGAUGCAGCGACGCCGCGUGGGGGAUGACGGCCUUCGGGUUGUAAACUCCUUUCGCUAGGGACGAAGCUUUUUGUGACGGUACCUAGAUAAGGGGCACCGGCUAACUAGGUG
rnacentral:rRNA from 1 species